rnacentral:rRNA from 1 species
CGAGAAAGCCCGCAAGGGUGAGUAAAGCGGCGCACGGGUGCGUAACACGUGGGUAAUCUGCCCUAGAGUCCGGAAUAACUCGCCGAAAGGCGUGCUAAUGCCGGAUGAGACCACGGGAGCCUCGGCUCCUGCGGGAAAAGGUGGCCUCUGUAUACAAGCUAUCGCUCUAGGAUGAGCCCGCGGCCCAUCAGCUCGUUGGCGGGGUAAUGGCCCACCAAGGCUACGACGGGUAGCUGGUCUGAGAGGACGAUCAGCCACACUGGAACUGAGACACGGUCCAGGCUCCUACGGGAGGCAGCAGUGGGGAAUCUUGCGCAAUGGGCGAAAGCCUGACGCAGCAACGCCGCGUGUGUGAUGAAGGUCUUCGGAUCGUAAAGCACUGUCGCGAGGGACG